AACGGAAAGGCCCUUCGGGGUACUCGAGUGGCGAACGGGUGAGUAACACGUGGGUGAUCUGCCCUGCACUUUGGGAUAAGCCUGGGAAACUGGGUCUAAUACCGAAUAUGAUCAUCGGCUUCAUGGUCGGUGGUGGAAAGCUUUUGCGGUGUGGGAUGGGCCCGCGGCCUAUCAGCUUGUUGGUGGGGUAAUGGCCUACCAAGGCGACGACGGGUAGCCGGCCUGAGAGGGUGACCGGCCACACUGGGACUGAGAUACGGCCCAGACUCCUACGGGAGGCAGCAGUGGGGAAUAUUGCACAAUGGGCGCAAGCCUGAUGCAGCGACGCCGCGUGAGGGAUGACGGCCUUCGGGUUGUAAACCUCUUUCAGCACAGACGAAGCGCAAGUGACGGUAUGUGCAGAAGAAGGACCGGCCAACUACGUGCCAGCAGCCGCGGUAAUACGUAGGGUCCGAGCGUUGUCCGGAAUUACUGGGCGUAAAGAGCUCGUAGGUGGUUUGUCGCGUUGUUCGUGAAAACUCACAGCUUAACUGUGGGCGUGCGGGCGAUACGGGCAGACUAGAGUACUGCAGGGGAGACUGGAAUUCCUGGUGUAGCGGUGGAAUGCGCAGAUAUCAGGAGGAACACCGGUGGCGAAGGCGGGUCUCUGGGCAGUAACUGACGCUGAGGAGCGAAAGCGUGGGGAGCGAACAGGAUUAGAUACCCUGGUAGUCCACGCCGUAAACGGUGGGUACUAGGUGUGGGUUUCC
rnacentral:rRNA from 1 species